AAUUUUAACAUUUCCCGGGGAGGUUUGGAUAUAUUUUCUUGUAAUAUAGCCGAUAAACCAGAACGUAUCGAAUGAAUCUAGAAAUAGAUAAACGAGCAUUAUCGCGUACAAUUUCUAAAGCGUAAAAAGUUUGGCAUCUGUUACACAUCCAAACGGAUUCGUUGUUAAGAGGAUCACAAGGUAAUAAAAUACCAGAACAAUAGUCAGCUGCACAGUAUAGUGCACUUAAUAAUGAUCCACAUUCCUGAAGGAUCCCUGCAUCUAUUACAUCUACAAAAGAAAUUCUUAGUAACGCUUAAAACUUGUCUUCUUAAAGUGGUAUCCCAAAAGAGAUCGAUAUAAGUCAUUGUAAUUUCUUCCCCUGCGGAAAUGGAACGGACAGCUAUGACAUAAAGCUGUUGCUGCGAAUCAUAAUGAUGCCUUGUAUUAGAUUAAAUGAUACCACUUAACAAUUCUUAACAAUAUACUAUACGUUUGUUAUAUUCAUAUUGUCAUACCUCACAAUCAUUAUUCAAGUUUUGA